GGGCCGGGCCCUUCCCGGUGGCGGCGGCGGCAGCGGAAGCGGCCCCGGGGCUGAUUGACAGCUCGGCCAGCCAAUCAGCGCCGCCCCCGAGCCCCCCCGAGCCCCGCCCACCCCCGGUCCCCAUGGCAACGGCGCGGGGGGGAUGCGGGGGGCGGGGCCUGGGGCGUCGCCAUGGCAACCGCAGCCAGGCCACGCCCCCCGCGGCCGCUGAUUGGCUGCGCCGCGCGGCGGGCGGGAAACGGCGGCAAAAUGGCGGCGCGAGGCCACGCCCACCUCGGAGGCCGGAAGUGAGGCGACGCUCUAUGCCCCCGGACGCGACUCUAUGGUUUCUCCCCCCCUCCCAUUGGGUUAUAUGGAGGGGGCGUGGCUUAGGGGGGCGGAGCGCGCUGUGAUUGGACGAGGCGCGUGCCAAUCACCCUUAAGCCCCCCCCCCCCUUCCCCAUAAACCCGGAAGUGCCCCCAGAUUCCCUCUCCCUUUCGCCCCGCCCACCCCGCUCGGGCGGAAGUGACGCAGAGGGGGCGGGGCCUCGACAGGAAGCCGGAAGUGACGCCCAGGUGCGGGCCCAGGCCGGCGGCGGAGCGCUGUGAUUGGCCGAGAUGGAAGGGGGGGAAGCAGCAGCCAAUGGGAGCGCGGCGGCCACGGAGGAGGCGGCCAAUGGGCAGCGAGCGCCCCCAGGGUGCGGCCAAUGAGGGAGCAGGGAGCUGGCAGCCGGCCAAUGAGCAGCUAGAAGGGCGGGGAGCCAGCGAGGAUUCAGCCAAUGAGGACGCAAGGAGCCGGGAGGCAGCCAAUGAGGGCGCGAGGCCACGGGGAGCGGCCAAUGAGAACGCAGCACGCCCGGAGCCGACCAAUGGGGAGGCCGCGUCGCUCCCUGGGCCGUCCAAUCAGGCGGCGGCGCCGGUGCCGUCAGCCAAUGAGGCGUGGGAUUGGCGCAGCGAGGAGGCGUGGCUCCGGGAGCCCUGCGGGGACGAGGACGGCGACCAAUGGGAGCUGGGGGAGGCAGCCAAUGAGAAGGCGGGAGGCUGGGAGCCAGCCAAUGGCAGCGCAGAACGCAAGGAGGUGAAUGACGUCAACCAGAACCCAAGUGACGUCAUCAAGGGGCCCGAAAACCCAACAAAGGAACCCAAAAAUCCAACUGAUGUCAACCAGAACCCAACUGACAUCAUCAAGGACCCCAAAAAGACGACUGGAGACCCCAAAAUCCCAACAAAUGACCCCAAAAAAACAACUGAUGUCAUCCAGGACCCCAAAAACCCAAAAAAGGACCCCAAAAACUCAAUGGAGGACCCCAAAAACCCAACUGACGUCAACAGGAACCCAAGUGACGUCAUCAAGGACCCUGAAAACCCAACAAAUGACCCCAAAAAC
rnacentral:lncRNA from 1 species